rnacentral:rRNA from 1 species
UGGGGGGAGGCUACCUGCAGUCGAGCGGUAGAGAGAAGCUUGCUUCUCUUGAGAGCGGCGGACGGGUGAGUAAUGCCUAGGAAUCUGCCUGGUAGUGGGGGAUAACGUUCGGAAACGGACGCUAAUACCGCAUACGUCCUACGGGAGAAAGCAGGGGACCUUCGGGCCUUGCGCUAUCAGAUGAGCCUAGGUCGGAUUAGCUAGUUGGUGAGGUAAUGGCUCACCAAGGCGACGAUCCGUAACUGGUCUGAGAGGAUGAUCAGUCACACUGGAACUGAGACACGGUCCAGACUCCUACGGGAGGCAGCAGUGGGGAAUAUUGGACAAUGGGCGAAAGCCUGAUCCAGCCAUGCCGCGUGUGUGAAGAAGGUCUUCGGAUUGUAAAGCACUUUAAGUUGGGAGGAAGGGUUGUAGAUUAAUACUCUGCAAUUUUGACGUUACCGACAGAAUAAGCACCGGCUAACUCUGUGCCAGCAGCCGCGGUAAUACAGAGGGUGCAAGCGUUAAUCGGAAUUACUGGGCGUAAAGCGCGCGUAGGUGGUUUGUUAAGUUGGAUGUGAAAUCCCCGGGCUCAACCUGGGAACUGCAUUCAAAACUGACUGACUAGAGUAUGGUAGAGGGUGGUGGAAUUUCCUGUGUAGCGGUGAAAUGCGUAGAUAUAGGAAGGAACACCAGUGGCGAAGGCGACCACCUGGACUAAUACUGACACUGAGGUGCGAAAGCGUGGGGAGCAAACAGGAUUAGAUACCCUGGUAGUCCACGCCGUAAACGAUGUCAACUAGCCGUUGGAAGCCUUGAGCUUUUAGUGGCGCAGCUAACGCAUUAAGUUGACCGCCUGGGGAGUACGGCCGCAAGGUUAAAACUCAAAUGAAUUGACGGGGGCCCGCACAAGCGGUGGAGCAUGUGGUUAAUUCGAAGCAACGCGAAGACCUUACCAGGCCUUGACUCCAAUGAAUUUCUAGAGAAGAUUGGUGCUUCGGGACCUUGAAACGGUGCUGCUGGCUGU